rnacentral:rRNA from 1 species
UACGAAGGGGGCUAGCGUUGCUCGGAAUCACUGGGCGUAAAGCGCACGUAGGCGGAUCGCUAAGUCAGGGGUGAAUCCUGGAGCUCAACUCCAGAACUGCCUUCGAUACUGGCGAUCUCGAGUUCGGGAGAGGUGAGUGGAACUGCGAGUGUAGAGGUGAAAUUCGUAGAUAUUCGCAAGAACACCAGUGGCGAAGGCGGCUCACCUGGCCCGAUACUGACGCUGAGGUGCGAAAGCGUGGGGAGCAAACAGG